rnacentral:rRNA from 1 species
UACGUAGGGGGCAAGCGUUGUCCGGAAUCAUUGGGCGUAAAGCGCGUGUAGGCGGUCCGGUAAGUCCGCUGUGAAAGUCGGGGGCUCAACCCUCGGAUGCCGGUGGAUACUGUCGGGCUUGAGUACGGAAGAGGCGAGUGGAAUUCCUGGUGUAGCGGUGAAAUGCGCAGAUAUCAGGAGGAACACCGGUGGCGAAGGCGGCCCUCUGGACGGUGACUGACGCUGAGACGCGAAAGCGUGGGGAGCAAACAGG